rnacentral:rRNA from 1 species
GACGAACGCUGGCGGCGUGCUUAACACAUGCAAGUCGAACGGAAAGGCCUCUUUCGGGGGGUACUCGAGUGGCGAACGGGUGAGUAACACGUGAGUAACCUGCCCUUGACUUUGGGAUAACUUCAGGAAACUGGGGCUAAUACCGGAUAGGAGCUCCUGCUGCAUGGUGGGGGUUGGAAAGUUUCGGCGGUUGGGGAUGGACUCACGGCUUAUCAGCUUGUUGGUGGGGUAGUGGCUUACCAAGGCUUUGACGGGUAGCCGGCCUGAGAGGGUGACCGGCCACAUUGGGACUGAGAUACGGCCCAGACUCCUACGGGAGGCAGCAGUGGGGAAUAUUGCACAAUGGGUGGAAGCCUGAUGCAGCAACGCCGUGUGCGGGAUGACGGCCUUCGGGUUGUAAACCGCUUUCGCUCAUGACGAAGCUUUGUGUGACGGUAGUGGGUAAAGAAGCACCGGCUAACUACGUG